GCCGGGGAAGACGGUAUCCUUCAAUCUUCAUCACACCACUUUCUGCAAAGAAGUCUCCCGUGCAGAAAAAACUGUCUGACAUUCGAUCCUACAGGUCUACUAAGCCAUCUUCAGCAUCUAUUCCGUGAAUCACCAACUGUAGGCCCGCAUACCCUCGCAGCUCUUGGAAGGAUUUUCGAGUGCCCAAGAGAAUUUUGAAAUAUUCAUUAUAAUUUCUUCACUGUUCACUGAUAUGACUGUACAACAUGUGGCAAUUUCUGCUUUAUGAAUGAAAUCUCUGUCCAACACCAAGAAGUUCUAAAUGUUUAGACUGUGUUCAGGUGUGACAUUAAUUGAGGGGUUCGGGUAAAAUAACGGCGACUUUUCUGAGAAAAUUACUUAUUUUUCGUUAGUACCUUCUGUGAGACAUGAUGUACCACCAUAAUGAUUUGGAGUAUGUCCUAUGUGAGAACAUAGAAUGCUAAGCACUCUGUACACUAAUUAUUUCAAUUCCCAUUCUUUGUGUGAUGGAUUCAUACGGUGUUCACUAUAAAUUACAAACUUCUCCUAGUUGUCCAUCACCCAAAGAAGGGUAGAGCCCCCGGUCCACUGAUACAAAUACAAAUUAAUAAUACUUUUACUAUCUCCAAAACUAAUGUGUCAAUCCAGAAGAUCACAAUCCUCCUCCUACUCCUUCAUGUAUGAUCAAUGUUUUAUUAAAAUUUGAUUAAAUUA